GAUAAACGCUGGCGGCGCACAUAAGACAUGCAAGUCGAACGAACUUAAUCAUCUUUAGUUGAGAGCGGUUAGUGGCGGACUGGUGAGUAACACGUAAGCAACCUGCCUAUUAGAGGGGAUAACAGUGAGAAAUCAUUGCUAAUACCGCAUAUGCUAACAGUAUCGCAUGAUACAGUUAGGAAAGGAGCAAUCCGCUAAUAGAUGGGCUUGCGUCUGAUUAGAUAGUUGGUGGGGUAACGGCCUACCAAGUCGACGAUCAGUAGCCGGACUGAGAGGUUGAACGGCCACAUUGGGACUGAGACACGGCCCAGACUCCUACGGGAGGCAGCAGUGAGGAAUAUUGGGCAAUGGGCGCAAGCCUGACCCAGCAAUGCCGCGUGAAGGAAGACGGUUUUCGGAUUGUAAACUUCUUUUAAGAGGGACGAUAAUGACGGUACCUCUUGAAUAAGCCACGGCUAACUACGUG
rnacentral:rRNA from 1 species